GAAAAGCAACGCGGAGAAAGGAGUGACCUGAGAACACAGCCACCACCAUGAGCCUCCUCAACAAGCCCAAGAGUGAAAUGACCCCAGAGGAGCUACAAAAGAGGGAGGAGGACGAAUUUAACACUGGUCCACUAUCUGUGCUCACACAGUCAGUCAAGAACAACACUCAAGUGCUUAUCAAUUGCUGCAAUAACAAGAAACUCCUGGGCCGUGUGAAGGCCUUUGAUAGGCACUGCAACAUGGUGCUGGAGAACGUGAAGGAGAUGUGGACUGAGGUUCCCAAGAGUCAUUGUGGUCCUGAGGGGCAAGGGGAAGAAGAAGUCCAAGCCGGUCAACAAGGACCACUACAUCUCCAAGAUGUUCCUGCGUGGAGAUUCUAUACUGUUUGUUUUAGUAGCCACAAUGAGUCAUCCUUAUUACUACUUAAAUGAAUACAUAUAA